rnacentral:rRNA from 1 species
CCGCCUACGGGAGGCAGCAGUAGGGAAUCUUCCGCAAUGGACGAAAGUCUGACGGAGCAACGCCGCGUGAGUGAUGAAGGCUUUCGGGUCGUAAAACUCUGUUGUUAGGGAAGAACAAGUGCUAGUUGAAUAAGCUGGCACCUUGACGGUACCUAACCAGAAAGCCACGGCUAACUACGUGCCAGCAGCCGCGGUAAUACGUAGGUGGCAAGCGUUAUCCGGAAUUAUUGGGCGUAAAGCGCGCGCAGGUGGUUUCUUAAGUCUGAUGUGAAAGCCCACGGCUCAACCGUGGAGGGUCAUUGGAAACUGGGAGACUUGAGUGCAGAAGAGGAAAGUGGAAUUCCAUGUGUAGCGGUGAAAUGCGUAGAGAUAUGGAGGAACACCAGUGGCGAAGGCGACUUUCUGGUCUGUAACUGACACUGAGGCGCGAAAGCGUGGGGAGCAAACAGGAUUAGAUACCCUGGUAGUCCACGCCGUAAACGAUGAGUGCUAAGUGUUAGAGGGUUUCCGCCCUUUAGUGCUGA